AUUGAACGCUGGCGGCAGGCUUAACACAUGCAAGUCGAGCGGGGGAAGGUAGCUUGCUACCGGACCUAGCGGCGGACGGGUGAGUAAUGCUUAGGAAUCUGCCUAUUAGUGGGGGACAACAUCUCGAAAGGGAUGCUAAUACCGCAUACGUCCUACGGGAGAAAGCAGGGGAUCUUCGGACCUUGCGCUAAUAGAUGAGCCUAAGUCGGAUUAGCUAGUUGGUGGGGUAAAGGCCUACCAAGGCGACGAUCUGUAGCGGGUCUGAGAGGAUGAUCCGCCACCCUGGGACUGAGACACGGCCCAGACUCCUACGGGAGGCAGCAGUGGGGAAUAUUUGACCAUGGGGGGAACCCUGAUCCAGCCAUGCCGCGUGUGUGAAGAAGGCCUUAUGGUUGUAAAGCACUUUAAGCGAGGAGGAGGCUACUUUAGUUAAUACCUAGAGAUAGUGGACGUUACUCGCAGAAUAAGCACCGGCUAACUCUGUG
rnacentral:rRNA from 1 species